CAAAAGCAAGGGAAGCUCCUUCAUGUCUCUUCAUCAGCGCAUAUCUUCUGCCUGGUGAAGACGACUGUUGAGAAGCUUUUGGCGAUGUCUGACUUGUGGGGUUCAAGUUGGGCUUGAGUUGAGAAUUAUUUGAUGGGCUUGGAGCAGAUUGGCUGAUAGGCCCCCUCAAACUAGGUGUGUCGAUUGAGUCGACGCCGAGUUUGUCACGAAGAGUCGAGAAAGCUUCAAACGGAAGAGAUUUGGUGAAUAUGUCGGCACUCUGCUGAUGAUUAGGGAUGUGUCUCACUUCCAAGGCUCCCAAGCAUCUCUCUCUCUAACAUAGUGAUAAUCGAGAGCAAAGUGCUUGGUGCGAGAGUGAAAUGAAGGAUUCACAGAUAACAAGACCGCCGAUAAAUUGUCACACAGCAGCAAUGGAGUUGUAAGAAGCAGAAUUCCCAACUCACGAAAGAUCGAGCACAACCAGGAGAGUGAAGUCGGAUACUGUUGGAGCAUGCAUCUUCUGACAGACAUAGUUGACGGCGAAUUUAAUGUUAGGCCGCGUCAAAGUGAGGUAUUGUAGCUUCCUUGCAAGACUCUUUGUAAUAAUCCUCACGAGCAGAUAGAAUUUUGGUCGAGAAAAAUUCCACUCAACCAAUUUGG